rnacentral:miRNA from 1 species
UAUUGAAACAAAUCUUAAGUGUGUUACUUUCAUCUAUUGAAUAGAUGAAAGUAACACACUUAAGAUUUGUUCAGUUUA